rnacentral:rRNA from 1 species
UACAGAGGUCUCAAGCGUUGUUCGGAUUCAUUGGGCGUAAAGGGCGCGUAGGCGGCGCGGUAAGUCGGGUGUGAAAUCUCGGGGCUUAACUUCGAAACUGCAUUCGAUACUGCCGUGCUUGAGGACUGGAGAGGAGACUGGAAUUUACGGUGUAGCGGUGAAAUGCGUAGAUAUCGUAAGGAAGACCAGUGGCGAAGGCGGGUCUCUGGACAGUUCCUGACGCU